rnacentral:rRNA from 1 species
UACGUAGGGUGCGAGCGUUGUCCGGAAUUACUGGGCGUAAAGAGCUCGUAGGUGGUUUGUCGCGUUGUUCGUGAAAACUCACAGCUUAACUGUGGGCGUGCGGGCGAUACGGGCAGACUGGAGUACUGCAGGGGAGACUGGAAUUCCUGGUGUAGCGGUGGAAUGCGCAGAUAUCGGGAGGAACACCAGUGGCGAAGGCGGCCUUCUGGGCCUGUCCUGACGCUGAGGCGCGAAAGCGUGGGGAGCGAACCGG